CCUACGGGCGGCAGCAGUGAGGAAUAUUGGUCAAUGGCCGGAAGCCUGAACCAGCCAAGCAGCGUGCAGGAUGACGGCCCUACGCGUCGCAGACCGCUUUUAUACGGGGAUAACGCGCCUUACGCGUCCGGUCCUGCAUGUACCCUGUGAAUAAGCACCGGCUAAGUCCGUGCCAGCAGCCGCGGUAAUACGGAGGGUCCGAGCGUUAUCCGGAUUCAUUGGGUUUAAAGGGUGCGCAGGCGGGCCGUUAAGCCGGCGGUGAAAUGUCGGGGCUCAACCCGGCCGGGCCGUGGGAACUGGGGGCCUGGAGUGCGGCGGAGGCAGGCGGAAUGCGUGGUGUAGCGGUGAAAUGCAUAGAUAUGGCGCAGAACCCCGAUUGCGAAGGCAGCGUGCCGUGGCGGAACUGACGCUGAGGCACGAAAGCGCGGGGAUCGAACAGGAUUAGAUACCCGAGUAGUC
rnacentral:rRNA from 1 species